UGUUUCCUCCACUUCUUGGAAAGAGGUAGAGGUCUUGGCAUUCUUGAUUAUGUCGUCGAGAUUAACAACUUCAUGGCAUCCUUUAUGAACUUCAAUGGCACACUUACCACAGCAUGGCAUUUCAUGAUCUUUACAGUAUAAAAGAAACUUUUCAUCAUGCUUGGUACAAGACUGAAGGAUCUGCAUGACAUCUGGAGGCAGCAUCUGGUAUUCAGCCAUUGGUAUCGUCUUGUGGUGUCUGGAUGCCUUCGCUAAGCUGUGGUGUUCUGCACAAUCCGAACAAAAACCUUCAUCACACUCAGGGCACCAGGCUAUGGAUGGGUUGGUCACGUGUCGAAGGUCACAUAUACUACAAUUGUUUUUUGCAGUAGCCAUUAU
rnacentral:lncRNA from 1 species